rnacentral:rRNA from 1 species
GUAAAAAAUUUACAAAAUUUUUUGUUGGAAAUAAGGGUAUUAUUAAAUACCUCUCGCACUCCUAGGGCGUUUCGUUCUCAUUCGUUGAGUUGAGGCGCACCAGGAGCUUACACGCUGGUACCCGAAAGAUGGUGAACUAUGCCUGGUCAGGACGAAGCCAGGGGAAACCCUGGUGGAGGUCCGAAGCGAUUCUGACGUGCAAAUCGAUCGUCUGAGCUGGGUAUAGGGGCGAAAGACCAAUCGAACCAUCUAGUAGCUGGUUCCCUCUGAAGUUUCCCUCAGGAUAGCUGGCUCUCUCAUGAGUCUCAUCCGGUAGAGCGAAUGAUUAGAGGUGAUGGGGUCGAAACGACUUCAACCUAUUCUCAAACUCCCAAUAGAUGAGAGCCCCGGCUUGCUUAAAAAUGAAGCCGUGGGACUCGGAUCAGAGAGGCCAAGUGGGCCAAUUUUGGUAA